rnacentral:rRNA from 1 species
UACGGGGGGAGCAAGCGUUGUUCGGAUUUACUGGGCGUAAAGGGCGCGUAGGCGGUCAGCACAAGUCAGUUGUGAAAUCUCCGAGCUUAACUCGGAAAGGUCAACUGAUACUGUGCGACUAGAGUGCGGAAGGGGCAACUGGAAUUCUUGGUGUAGCGGUGAAAUGCGUAGAUAUCAAGAGGGACACCUGCGGCGAAGGCGGGUUGCUGGGCCGACACUGACGCUGAGGCGCGAAAGCUAGGGGAGCGAACGGG